AAAGUAUAUUUCAAUUCUUUCAGUCAUCUUCUUAAUAAUGUUUUAUUUUAUUAUUCCUUUAAUAUAUUAUUUAAAUCAUAUUGUAAAUGAAUAUUUACAGGUGCAUCUCAAUAAAUUAGAAUGUCAUGGAAAAGUUCAUUUAUUCAGUAAUUCAACUUAUAAUGAAACUCAUUACAAUCUCAAAAAAAAAAAAAAAAAUAGAAAAUGGUGACAUGCCAAUGAGCUAAUCAACUCAAAACACCUGCAAAGGUUUCCUGAGCCUUGAAAAUGGUCUCUCAGUUUGUUUCACUAGGCUACACAAUCAUGGGGGAGACUGCUUAUCUGACAGUUGUCCAGAAGACAAUCAUUGACACCCUUCACAAGGAGGGUAAGCCACAAACAUGCAUUGUCAAAGAAGCUUGCUGUUCACAGAGUGCUGUUUCUGAGCAUGUUAACAGAAAGUUGAGUGGAAAUAGUGAGGAAGAAAAAGAUGCACAACCAACCGAGAGAACCACAGCCUUUUGAGGAUUGUCAAGCAAAAUUGAUUCAAGAAUUUGAGUGAACUUCACAAGAAAUGGACUGAGGCUGGGGUCAAGGCAUAUACAGACAUGUCAAGGAAUUUGGCUACAGUUGUUGAAUUCCUCUUGUUAAGCCACUCCUGAACCACAGACAAUGUCAGAGGCAUCUUACCUGGGCUAAGGAGAAGAAGAACUGGACUGUUGCCCAGUGGUCCAAAGUCCUCUUUUCAGAUGAGAGAAAGUUUUGUAUUCAAUUUGGAAACCAAGGUCCUAGAGUCUGGAGGAUGGGUAGAGAAGCUCAUAGCCCAAGUUGCUUGAAGUCCAGUGUUAAGUUUCCACAGUCUGUGAUGAUUUGGGAGCAAUGUCAUCUGCUGGUGUUGGUCCAUUGUGUUUUUUGAAAAACAAAGUCACUGCACCCGUUUACAAAGAAAUUUUGCAGCACUUCAUGCUUCCUUCUGCUGACCAGGUGAAUGCCAAAAGUACCAAAAGUUGGUUAAAUGACCAUGGUGUUGGUGUGCUUGACUGGCCAGAAAACUCACCAGAGUAUGGGCUAUUGUCAAGAGGAAAAUGAGAAACAAGAGAACAAAAAAUCCAGAUGAGCUGAAGGCCACUGUCAAAGAAACCUGGGCUUCCAUACCACAACUGAGCACCUCCAUGCCGCGCCAAAUUGAGGCAGUAAUUAAAGCAAAAUGAGCCCCGUUAUAUAUAUAUAACGUGAUAGAAUAUGUAACAAUAUAAGUCUUUACUAUCACUUUUUAUCAAUUUAGCAUCUUACUGUGUUAAUAAUACUAAUUUAUUUCAAUAAAUAAAAAAUAAAGAAAAAAUAAAUACUGACCCAAACUUUUUAAUGGUAAUAUAUACCGUUACGAAAAGAUUCUACUUAAAAUAAAUGCUGUUCAUUUAUUCAAAUAAAUAUUAGAAUGCCUUUUGAAGGAUCACGUAACACUUACUGUACGACUGGAGUAAUGAUGCUUAAAAACUCACAUUUACAUUGCAUGAAUAAAUUCGUUUUACAUUGCAGUAAUAUUUCAAAAUAUUGCUGUUUAUGUAUUUUUGAUCAAAUUAAUGCAGCCUUGAUGAGCACGAUAAACUACUUUAAAGAAAUAUGAAAAGUCUUACCUAUCCCAAACUUUUAAAUUUUAGGUUGAAUUAUUCUCAUGAACAACCUCAAAAUGUAUUUAUUUUCAGUAUGAACAAUUGAGACAUACAGAAAAUGUAAUUUCAUCACUGCAAAGUCUGAAUCAUGGCACGUGAUGAGACAUUCUGCUCUACAUCCAGGCCUGUGUUUGAUAGCCCACCCAUCCGACGGCUGCCAGCUCUGUAAACAUUUACUCAUGCUAUUAACACAGACCACUGAAUUCAGCACUGUCUGACCACAUAUUACAUAGCAGCUAUAGUUAGAAUAUAAUGUCUGACUUGUACCACUGCUGGGAAGCAUUGUAACAUACACAACCCGUUCAUGACUCAUUGUAAACAACACGGAAACAAAUAUACAACAGGGACGGGACAUAUUAAGGCUCUUUGAUACAUGAACUGGGCUCCAUGUCAAAUAAAACCUCCGUUUACAGAUCCAAGAACUGAGAACACAUUGGCUGCUGUCCCAUUCCCAUGUGUUGAGCACAAAAUAAGCUGUGAGAUAUGUUUAGGAUGUGGAUUAUAAUGCUGUGAUAAUUACAGGAAUCUGCAGGCGGAUGACGGCACAUCUCAGUCACUUCAUAGUUUGCUUCUAUGUCUAAAUUAAGAUCUGAUGAGUCAGAGAGACUGUUAGAGGAGACCUGUUAACAUCGAAAGUGUGUCCGCCAGGGUUGACUGCAGUGGCCUUCAGAGUGGGCACAGGGUUUUUUGAUGGGAUUUACAGUGAACUGCAGGUGUCGUGGCCCUGUGGGCUGUAUGGUACUAUUGUGAGAGGAACAAUGGCGCAGAAAAGCUUGGGAACCGCUGCUUUGCUUUGUUCUCGUGUAUUGUCUGUUCCCAGGAUGUCCUUCAGGAAAAUGACAAAAAAGGUCAAGCAACUGACACUCUACAUUACCUUCCCAAGACGAUGAAAUGAUUGGCAGGGGAAGACAAAGGAAUAUCUUGAUUGUUUAAUCUCAAGAUUUAUGAACGGAAAUGAUGCUUUUCACUCGUCAAAGCUAUUUAUGACUGUGACCGUUGCAUGUUGAGGAAGGCAAUUACAACAGGAUGUGACCCGUGUCCACGUUUACAGUUCUCAAAGCAGGGCAGAGAGAGGCUCAAAUGAAUCAAAACAGUCCUCCCCAGUAACAAGUGCCUGAAACCAAAGCGCAGAGACUGGGACUGGGGUCAGAGGUCAGAUGUUACAGUAAACAAAUUUGAGAAGCUCAUUAUGAAAGAAAAUGAUGAAACAUCAACUUCUGGGAACAGCUGACGGCACACAUUUCUCAGCAUUUUAGCAUGGGAUGUGUUACUGGCUGUUUUUUUGACCAAUUUAAUAAUUAAAUGAAUAAAUUCA